rfam:Loxodonta africana unplaced genomic scaffold scaffold_44, whole genome shotgun sequence.
AUAAGGGCCCUUUUCAGGGCCACCUCCAUUUUCUUUUAAGGAGCUU